GGAGGUUACUGCUAUCGGUGUUUGCCUAAACCAUGCGAGUCAUAUGUUUUUUGUGAACAUGGCGUACUGCUCAGUAACACGUGGAUAACCUGCCCUUGGGACCGGCAUAACCCCGGGAAACUAGGGAUAAUUCCGGAUACCGCAUAUAUGCUGGAAUGCUUUAUGCGUGAAAUGGAUUUGUUUGCCCAAGGAUGGGUUUGCGGCCUAUCAGGUAGUAGUGGGUGUAAUGUACCUACUAGCCUACGACGGGUACGGGUUGUGAGAGCAAGAGCCCGGAGAUAAAAGGUGAGACAUGAAUCCAGGCCCUACGGGGUG
rnacentral:rRNA from 1 species